GCUCCGGUGGCCUAGUGGUUAGAGCGUCCGCCUCGGAUGCGGGAGGUCGCGGGUUCGAUCCCCGGUCGAGUCA